rnacentral:rRNA from 1 species
UACGGAGGGUGCAAGCGUUAUCCGGAUUCACUGGGUUUAAAGGGUGCGUAGGUGGGCAGGUAAGUCCGUGGUGAAAUCUCCAAGCUUAACUUGGAAACUGCCGUGGAUACUAUCUGUCUUGAAUACCGUGGAGGUGAGCGGAAUAUGUCAUGUAGCGGUGAAAUGCUUAGAUAUGACAUAGAACACCCAAUUGCGAAGGCAGCUCACUACACGCUUAUUGACACUGAGGCACGAAAGCGUGGGGAUCAAACAGG